ACUUGGGGAAAGUCUGGGGUGUAGAAGCUAGAGGUCAGCUGCUAACCCGAGUGUCUUCUACAGAGGAGAGUGGUCAGGUCUAUGUUCUAGGUGGUAGAGCAUGAGAGAGAGACUAAGGUUGUGUGUAGAGAGCUGGACUGUGGGAAUCCUGUAGCUGCAUCUAGAGGACCUCUGAUUGAAGAUGGAAGAGGAGGAGUCAGACUAGGUUGUUGCUAUGGAGAUUAGUCUUCUAUUAGACAGUGUGACAUCAUAGAAGGAGAACCUGGUGUCUGUAAUGGUGGAUAUUAUCGUCAUGUGACCUGUUCAGUCCCCUCAUCAAAGGUGUUUCUGUUUGCAGCCUCUCCUCUGCCAGCCUUCAUCAUCAGACACGUUGUAGUGCUGCUUAUCCUACUGACAGCCAUCACCACCUCCUACCUGUACUACAAGCCCACCAGGAGGCAGAAGAGAGUGAACAGGGUGAGCAGCAUGGAUCUUUAUGUCAAUGCCAUGGAGAUGGUCUCUCUGAGCUCCAGAGCUGAAGCUGGACCGGGAGAGGAGAGAGCAGCCCAGGGGACGGAGUAGGAGGAGAAUGAAUCUGACCCUACAUGCUGAUCUUAGGUCAGUUUUGUGUUUUAAAUUGAUGGUCAGCAGUGGACAGUUUUUAAAAUUUGGUGACAAACCUGAAGUGGUUCUAAUUUUAAUAACAAGUUCAGAAUGAGUUUCUCUUUCUAGAACCUUGGAAGAAAUCUAAAAGGAGUGACUGCAACCACCAUUAUUCAUUUAGUUAGAAACAUGGGGUUCUG